rnacentral:rRNA from 1 species
AUGAACGCUGGCGGCGUGCCUAAUCCAUGCAAGUCGAGCGAACAGACGAGGAGCUUGCUCCUCUGACGUUAGCGGCGGACGGGUGAGUAACACGUGGAUAACCUACCUAUAAGACUGGGAUAACUUCGGGAAACCGGAGCUAAUACCGGAUAAUAUAUUGAACCGCAUGGUUCAAUAGUGAAAGACGGUUUUGCUGUCACUUAUAGAUGGAUCCGCGCCGCAUUAGCUAGUUGGUAAGGUAACGGCUUACCAAGGCAACGAUGCGUAGCCGACCUGAGAGGGUGAUCGGCCACACUGGAACUGAGACACGGUCCAGACUCCUACGGGAGGCAGCAGUAGGGAAUCUUCCGCAUUGGGCGAAAGCUUGACGGAGCAACGCCGCGUGAGUGAUGAAGGUCUUCGGAUCGUAAAACUCUGUUAUUAGGGAAGAACAAAUGUGUAAGUAACUAUGCACGUCUUGACGGUACCUAAUCAGAAAGCCACGGCUAACUACGUG